rnacentral:rRNA from 1 species
GAUGAACGCUAGCGGCAGGCUUAACACAUGCAAGUCGAGGGGCAGCACGGGUAGCAAUACCUGGUGGCGACCGGCGCAAGGGUGCGUAACGCGUGAGCAACAUGCCCUAUACAGGGGGAUAAUCCAGGGAAACUUGGUCUAAUAUCCCAUAGUAUUUAGAGGAGGCAUCUUCUAUAAAUUAAAGCUUCGGUGGUAUAGGAUUGGCUCGCGUGACAUUAGCUAGAUGGUGAGGUAACGGCUCACCAUGGCAAUGAUGUCUAGGGGUUCUGAGAGGAAGGCCCCCCACACUGGGACUGAGACACGGCCCAGACUCCUACGGGAGGCAGCAGUGAGGAAUAUUGGACAAUGGAUGGAAAUCUGAUCCAGCCAUGCCGCGUGCAGGAAGACAGCCCUACGGGUUGUAAACUGCUUUUCCCCGGGGCGAAUAACCCCCUCGCGAGGGGGGAUGCCGGUACCGGGGGAAUAAGGAUCGGCUAACUCCGUG